CCUACGGGAGGCAGCAGUGGGGAAUAUUGCACAAUGGGCGCAAGCCUGAUGCAGCGACGCCGCGUGGGGGAUGACGGCCUUCGGGUUGUAAACUCCUUUCGCUAGGGACGAAGCUUUUUGUGACGGUACCUAGAUAAGAAGCACCGGCUAACUACGUGCCAGCAGCCGCGGU
rnacentral:rRNA from 1 species